GGGAGGACGCCCCAUCCCCAUCCGAAGCGUUUACUGAGCGCCCGUGUGUCCAGUCACAGCGCGAGGCUCUGGGGAAAAGUCCAGAUCCCGAGAUGCGUUUGUUGGUUCACAGACACUUUCAUACGGGGUGGUUUCUGAAUUUUACAGCCCUGGUGAGGUGAAUGGCACGCGCUAUCCUGUGCCACCUUAGAAGAGAGUGGGUUUACAGAGUUCACGUGAGGUGUAGCAAAAAGGGCCACGGCCUUGGGCCUGCGUCUUGCUUUGAGUCCUGGCUUUGCCCCCAGCCAGCCUGUGACCCUGGGCAGCGUCGGCAUCCUGGUUUAUAAAAGGAGGGACUGGUUCUGCAGCCAUACCUUCCUACGGUGCCUGGCCCGGCCUGAAGCCUAGGCCGCUUGAUUGCUGAACAAGGGGCUGCAGGUGCCCGAGUCUGGGGGGGCCAGCAGGGCCAGUGAGAGGGGCUGGAGGCCUGUGCCUCCUCAUCCUGCAUCCACCGAGCAUCCACAGGGCUCGCCCAGGAGGCCCAGAGGAAUAAACACAUGCAGAGGAAGGGGCAGCCUGGGUGGGGACAGAGUCCAGAAAUCCCAGCUGUUCACGAGCCUGUGGGCAGAGGUCAGUCCUCAGAGAUCAGGUCUGACCCAAGGGCCGCCUGGGCUGUGGCUGGAUGCACAGCUGUCGAGGUCGUUGUUGAGGUCACUGUACAUGCCAGGAGGACUGGAGCUGGGGAAACCAUUGAUUGCUAGUGACAGCUGACCUCACGGUGACCAAAAGGGGGGCAGCUUAGCACGUAUCUGCCACACGAUUACCAUCAACCUUUGUUCAUCAGCACACAUUUAUUGAGCACCUACUAUGUACCAGGCUCUGUUCUAGGCCCUGGAAACAGCAAUGGAUAAAAAUCCCUGCCUUUAUGUUCCAGUGAGCCACACAGACAACACACAAGGAAGAAGUAAUAAUGUCGAGCAGGUACAACGAGGACAACAGCUGCUGUGGGACAAGGGAUCGAAAGUGCUGGGUGAGGGGAGUGGCUGCUUUCCUAAACAGCGUGGCCAAGGCAGGCUGACACUGAGGCGGUGGCACUGGAGCACAGACCUGAACAGAAAAAGCUUUCCUCCUCUUCACUCUGCUGUUGGAACCACCGUCUCUCGGCCGUGGGAAGCAGCCUGCCUGGAGAGGACUUCUCACGGUGGCCUCUGGCCACACACAGGCGUGUACUGACCGUCCGCAGGCUGGGGCUGACGUCGAGGUGCCCUGGGGCCUCCCCGGGAGACCGGAAGGCGUAGCCCUUGGGAGUGCUGCCUUUGAGAGGUGCUGCCAUGGAACAUGCACGGGACCUCCAACAGGCGGAGGGCCGGUUCGCCUCCGCCUCUGCUCCCCGCACCUCAUGCCUCGGUGUAGGGAUCAGCUUCAUGGAACUGCAGCCUGUUCUUUCCCACCUCCAGAGGUUUGCACGUGCGGGCGCCUCUGCCUGCAGUACCCGGAGCCCCUUCGUCUGGCUUCUUCGGACCUCGCUUCCCUAGGAAACUCGCCCCCUCUGCUCCCUGUCUGUGCUGCUGCAGCUCCCUGGCUCCCUCUGCCAUGGUGUUGAGUCACUCUGUCAGGUGAUUUCCUGGUUUCUUUGUCCCCCAUCGUGUCUAUUUCACUCCCUUGUACACAAGCCCCUGACGUUAUUGCUGCUGCGUGAGAAGAUCUCAAGAAAUUCUGGCUGAACAGCAGGGGUAAAGGAAGGUGGUUGUUGGCUCCCUGGUUCUGGUGACAGGACUUGGGGGGUCAGUGAAAAAGGAGAUGGGGACAGGAAGCAGUGUACUCAGGCCAUGGAAGUUAGGGGGAGAAUAAAAGGAAGCUAGAACCAGAGGGAGCCGGAGGGAGUCUGCAGGCCCGCAACUUCCAAGCCAAGCAUCGUGUAUCUUCAGUUUACGGUCAUGCACCGCAUAACGACAUUUCGGUCAGCAACAAACUGCAUAUACUACAGUGAUCCCGUAAGAUUAGCAGCACAUAGUCCAGGUGUGUAGUGGGCUAUGCCAUCUAGGUUUGUGUAAGUGCUCUCUAUGAUGUUCGCACAACGACAAAAUCGCCUAAUGAUGCAUCUCUCCAAAUGUAUUCUCAUUAUUAAGUAACGCAUGACUGACCUUGUGCUGGGACCUGAGUUCCCGGGGCACUGUCACUGGCUGUCCCAGACAUUUAAAGCCAUGGCUUGUCCACCUGGGGAGAAUGCACAUCUCCAUGUGCCAGACAGGUAGCAUGUGGGUCCCUUUACGUCUAGCCACAUGUCAUCCUCACAACAACACUACAAUGUGGAAAUUCUUAUGUUUGCUUCACAGAUGAGCACCUGCCUUCUAGAAGGGUGAAGUGCUUGCCCACAGUCACACCCAGCACUGGCUGAGUUUCACAGGGCAGAAUCAGCUGCAAAGACGAUGGUCUCUUCUCUCUCCUCUGGCUCCCAGACUCCCUGUUAAGACCAGGCCAGGACUGAGGCACCAUUGCAAAGGUGGCAACCGACAAAACAGAAACCAGUUUAAGAGGCAAUACGUUUAUUUGGGAUCAAAGAAUUGCAAUUCGAGGAGCAUGGAUUCAGCUGCUCCUUCAAAAAGUUUGGUGCCCCUGUAAAGCGAUGGGGCCACAGAGAGAGUCCCAGGAACCCACAUGUACCCAGUGAAGGAGCCUGAAAUCGGGAACGCGGGGCCUCGGUGGGGACUCCCUGGCUGCUGCCCAGGAGCAUCUCAGCAGGUGCCCGCGAGGACAGAUGACUAAGAGACCUGGGGCUGCACGUCCCUACUUUUGGCCCUUCAUAAUUCCCUGUCCCUCCUCUUCCCUCUAGGACAUAAUCCUAGGGAAAAGGCAGGGAGAAACUUGAAAUCAAGUUACUACUAUUUCUUGGUGGAACUGGAGUUCAAAAUAGAAAUGUAAAAAAUUAGAGCAAAAUAAAAGUUACUUUUCUUGGUCACCUGAGUCAGAGACAAGCAAAAAUGCUAUAGUUGCAGGGAAGAGGGCCACAUAGAUUACACUGGGGGGGCUGGUGGAGUGGUCAUGGAAGGCUUCCUGGAGGAGGUGAGGCUGAAUCAAAAAUUUUAAAGUUCCUGACAUGUACGCCAGUUUAAAUUUCCACCAGUGUCAAGAGAUCCUGGUCUAACCAAGACAGUUCUCUAUCUCAGGGAGGUGAAUCCAAUCAUCCCUGAAUGCUCAAAGCCUUAUGGGAACGUUUCAGGGGGCUCUCCCAGAGCGGGGCACGUACUGAUGACCAUCCUCAGGGUGGCUAGUGCAGAGACAGGCAGGAGCCAGGCUGGGCACUAUUUCCCGCAGAUGCCCUGGCUGGCCAGCAGGGGGAGCGAGUUUGCCACAGGCCGAAGCCAGGAACCCCGGGGAGCACAGCCAGUGGACGCCCAGGAUGCUGAGAGCGCCGCCUCAUUGAAUCGCCUGCCAGGGAGUGGGCACCCUCGUGAGCGGCGCGCCCACCGCUGGGCGGCCAUCUGCCCCCCCUACCUGGGCCCAGCCCUGCAUUUUCUGGAGAACAGUUCUUUCAGGCGCUGCCCAAGCCUUCUCUCGACUGUAACUGGGCAAAGAAAGGUGAGAGUUGGUGGCCCGCCCCCCACGGUGGUUUCCAGGGACCCUGAGAUGGCUGGGGGUGGGCUGGGCCUCCAUCACCUGGACUCUCCAAGCCCAUGAGCUGUGGAGAGACCCCUGUCAACCGAGUCACUUAAAAUUGCGGGUGUAGAAAAACAAUUAUGGGCAAAGAUACCUGUUGCAGCCAUUGAACAGAGACCAAUCUAAGUAUCCUCUAAUAUUACUACUGCUAAUAAUACUAAUAAACUGUAGCUCACCCUGUGGUGAACUGUGUUUAGCCAUUAAGAACACUGUCUUCAAGGGAUAGCUACUGACGUGAGAUAGUGCUCACAAUAUAAUGAGCUAAUUCUUCUCCAUUGCCCUUCCGGAGUCAUUGCCACCCUGCUCUGCACCCCGGAAAGUUGACCCCAGGAGACUGCUUCAUCCCCACUCCCUUCCUUCUGGCUCACCUCCAGGACUACGGCUCCACUGGGCAGCCCCCUGCUAAAGCUGUAGCCCUCUCUGGGCUCUGGUACUGCUGUUUUCUCCCCUUGCCCUUUUGGCCUUGAGGGUGUAACAGCUCGGCUGCGGCCAGCUCCUGAGUGCCUCGGCGUCCCUCGUCGGUUCCCUUGAACUUGUCCACGUCUCUGUAAAUCGUCCUUCACUGAACGACUCUUCAUUUGAACCAUCGGAGUGAGUGUGUUUCCUGCCAGGACUCUGACGAGUACAUGUGUUAAGUGAAAAGAGAAGAUGGCAAAGCUUUGUGUAGGAAAAAGGCCCGAUGCUCUGUCUGCGUUAUUUCACCAAAUCCUCAGGCCGUGCAGUGAAGUGCAGCCGAGAGGGGUGUCGACACCAGACUCGAAUUUGGAAAGCAUUUGAAGGAGCUCUCUAAUCACAUCUUUAUGGAGGGGAAGACCAUGCUGACCAGGGAAGAGGGAAAAAGGCGCACGAGACAUUUAUUGCUUUUAAAAGUUGCUGUAAGUUACUCCUAGAUUGUAUUUUUUUUUAAUGCAUAACAGUUUAGCUCUUUUAAGAAUGUGCUUCUGAUAAGAAGAGGAGGAGGAAGCUGUGGCUUGAUAAAGUAGGCCACGGGAGCUCAGAUGACCUGAUUUCUGUCUAAGCCAAAUUCUCACCCAGCUGCACAUGGGAGGAGCUGCCUUAAUUUCUUAGAAUCCCAGCUCUGCCACUGUGUGACCUGGGUUUUUUAAUCUAUGAAAUGAUUAUGUUAAUACACAGCUUAUGGGUCACGGUGAUGACUGAUAGUCAGUGCAGGUAAAGUGUCUGGCCCUGUGCCCAGGUCGUCAUGGGGACUCAACACAUGUGACUCCGUUUCCCUCCCGUCCCCCCUGUGUGCAGUGGGAAGGUGGCUGCUGUGGCCACAUGGCGAAGAACUGGGGUGGGAGAGACAAAGCUUCAUGUUGUGACCUCGUGCCUGGCACACGGGAGUGGCCCUUGGUGAGUUGUACUGUGGCCGCUCAGUGAGUGAACAAAUGAGUGUUCUCCCCGGAUCUACCCUCCCUGGGCUGGGUCCCAGGAAGACCCUUCACAGCCUCCUCUCUUUCACCAAAGGGUCUUUGUUUUCUAUCCCUUUAUAUUCGUUUUUUAUUGCUGUCUAAGAAAUUUCCACAAAGUGGUUUAAAACAACACACACUUAUUAUAUAUCUCAGAGUUUCUGGGCACAUGCUAGCUGGGUCCACUGCUCAGGGACCCACAGGCUGUGAUCAAGGUGCUGGUGGGGCUGCGUUCUUAUCUGGGGUCGUGACUGGGGUGGGUCUCAGAGCCUGGGCACAUGCUGCUGACCAUCCUCAGGAUCUCACAGGCUCGUUCAGGUUGUUGCAGAAUUCAUCCCCUUAGAUGGAGGACUAAGGUCCCUGUUCUCUUGCUGGCUGUCAGCAAGAGCCUCUCUCGGCUCCUAGAGGCUGCCCACAGCUCCUUGCCAAGUGGCCCUCUCACAACAUGACAACUUCCUUCUUCAAAGUCAGCACAAAAGAAUCUUGUUCUCACUGCAGUCAGAGCAGUGUGCGUGUGAGUGUGUGUGUGUGUGCGCGUGUGUGUACACACACUUAUAUGAUCACCUUUGCCAUGUAUUGCAAUUUUAUUAGGGGAGUGACAGUGCAUCACCUUUGCCAUAUCCUGUUCCUUAGAAGCGAGUCCCAGAUUCCUCCCACACUCAGGGGAGGACUACACAGGGUGUGACUCUUAGGGGUCGCCUUGGAGUGUGUGUACCACACCUGUCCCCUCCGAGUCCUCUUAUCUGUUGGGUGGUGAAUAAACCUGUGCAUUGUC